AUUGAACGCUGGCGGCAUGCCUUACACAUGCAAGUCGAACGGCAGCAUGGGAGCAAUCCUGGUGGCGAGUGGCGAACGGGUGAGUAAUAUAUCGGAACGUGCCCAGUCGUGGGGGAUAACGUAGAGAAAUUUACGCUAAUACCGCAUGAGAUCUAAGGAUGAAAGCGGGGGACUCUGCAAAGGGCCUCGCGCGACUGGAGCGGCUGAUAUCAGAUUAGGUUGUUGGUGAGGUAAAAGCUCACCAAGCCGACGAUCUGUAGCUGGUUUGAGAGAACGACCAGCCACACUGGGACUGAGACACGGCCCAGACUCCUACGGGAGGCAGCAGUGGGGAAUUUUGGACAAUGGGCGCAAGCCUGAUCCAGCAAUGCCGCGUGCAGGAAGAAGGCCUUCGGGUUGUAAACUGCUUUUGUACGGAACGAAAAAGGUCUGCCCUAAUACGGCGGGCCGAUGACGGUACCGUAAGAAUAAGCACCGGCUAACUACGUG
rnacentral:rRNA from 1 species